rnacentral:rRNA from 1 species
CCUACGGGAGGCAGCAGUAGGGAAUAUUGCUCAAUGGGGGAAACCCUGAAGCAGCAACGCCGCGUGGAGGAUGAAGGUUUUCGGAUUGUAAACUCCUUUUGUUAGAGAAGAUAAUGACGGUAUCUAACGGAUACGCACCGGCCAACACCGUGCUAGCAGCCGCGGUCAUACGGAGGGUGCAAGCGUUCCUCGGAAUCACUGGGCGUAAAGAGCGCGUAGGCGGGAUAGCAAGUCAGAUGUGAAAUCCUAGGGCUUAACCAUAGAACUGCAUUUGAAACUGUUAUUCUAGAGUAAUGGAGAGGUAGGUGGAAUUCUUGGUGUAGGGGUAAAAUCCGUAGAGAUCAAGAGGAACACUCAUGGCGAAGGCGAUCUGCUAGAACAUAACUGACGCUGAUGCGCGAAAGCGUGGGGAGCAAACAGGAUUAGAUACCCCAGUAGUC